rnacentral:rRNA from 1 species
AGCGAACGCUGGCGGCAGGCUUAACACAUGCAAGUCGAGCGGGCCUUUCGGGGUCAGCGGCGGACGGGUGAGUAACGCGUGGGAACGUGCCUUCUGGUUCGGAAUAACUCAGGGAAACUUGAGCUAAUACCGGAUACGCCCUUUUUGGGGAAAGGUUUACUGCCGGAAGAUCGGCCCGCGUCUGAUUAGCUAGUUGGUGGGGUAACGGCCUACCAAGGCGACGAUCAGUAGCUGGUCUGAGAGGAUGAUCAGCCACACUGGGUCUGAGACACGGCCCAGACUCCUACGGGAGGCAGCAGUGGGGAAUAUUGGACAAUGGGCGCAAGCUUGAUCCAGCCAUGCCGCGUGAGUGAUGAAGGCCUUAGGGUUGUAAAGCUCUUUUAUCCGGGACGAUAAUGACGGUACCGGAGGAAUAAGCCCCGGCUAACUUCGUGCCAGCCGCCGCCGUAA